AGCUUUGCGCAGUGGUAUUAUCAUAGCCAAUGAGGUUUAUCCGAGGUAUGAUUAUUGCUAAUUGAAAAUAGUAACAUAUGGCAUAUUUAAGAUAUUUUUUAAAUGGCAAGUUUGCC
rnacentral:snRNA from 1 species